GACGAACGCUGGCGGCGUGCCUAAUACAUGCAAGUUGAGCGAUGAAGAUUUGUGCUUUCACUAAUUUGAAGAGCAGCUAACGGGUGAGUAACGCGUGGGGAAUCUGCUUUUUAGCGGUGGACAAUAUUUUGAAACGAAUUCUAAUACCGCAUAACAACUUUAAACAUAAGUUUUAAGUUUUAAAGAUGCAAUUGCAUCACUCAAAGAUGAUCCCGCGUUGUAUUAGCUAGUUGGUGAGGUAAAGGCUCACCAAGGCGACGGUACAUAGCCGACCCGAGAGGGAGAUCGGGCAACUUGGGACUGGGAAAACGCCCAAACCCCUACGGGAGGCAGCAGUAGGGAAACAUCGGAAAUGGAGGAAAGUCUGGCCGAGCAACGACCGGUGAGUGAAGAAGGUUUUCGGAUCGUAAAACUCUGUUGGUAGAGAAGAAAGAUCGUGAGAGUGGAAAGCUCAUGAAGUGACGGUAACCAAACAGAAAGGAACGGCUAACUACGUG
rnacentral:rRNA from 1 species